rnacentral:rRNA from 1 species
CAGUAGCCGCGGGAAUACGUAGGUGGCAAGCGUUGUCCGGAAUUAUUGGGCGUAAGGGCUCGCAGGCGGUUUCUUAAGUCUGAUGUGAAAGCCCCCGGCUCAACCGGGGAGGGUCAUUGGAAACCGGGAAACUUGAGUGCAGAAGAGGAGAGUGGAAUUCCACGUGUAGCGGUGAAAUGCGUAGAGAUGUGGAGGAACACCAGUGGCGAAGGCGACUCUCUGGUCUGUAACUGACGCUGAGGAGCGAAAGCGUGGGGAGCGAACAGGAUUAGAUACCCCAGUAGUCCCUGUCUCUUAUACA